rnacentral:rRNA from 1 species
GGUUAUUCCGUUAACGAACGAGACCUUAACCUGCUAACUAGUCUGCUUGUAAAUAACAGGUUGUACUUCUUAGAGGGACUAUUGUGCAAUAAGCCAAUGGAAGUUUAAGGCAAUAACAGGUCUGUGAUGCCCCUAGACGUGCUCGGCCGCACGCGCGUUACAAUGACUGGCGCAAAAAGUAUUUCCUGUCCUGGGAAGGUACGGGUAAUCUUAUUAAUACCAGUCGUGUUAGGGAUAGUUCUUUGGAAUUGUGGAUCUUGAACGAGGAAUUUCUAGUAAGUGCAAGUCAUCAGCUUGCGUUGAUUAUGUCCCUGCCGUUUGUACACACCGCCCGUCGCUUGUAGUAACGAAUGGUCUGGUGAACCUUCUGGACUGCGACAGCAAUGUUGCGGAAAAAUAAGUAAACCCUACCAUUUGGAACAACAAGAAGUCGUAACAAGGUAUCUGUAGGUGAACCUGCAGAUGGAUCAUUA